UCAGUUCUAGCUCGUCAUGCUUUACUGUCUAAACUCAUCAUGAUUCAGUUCAGGUCAAGCUCCCCUUUGAAAUAUAUCUGUUGGCCUUUUCUUUAGUGUCCAGAGGUCAAACCUAGAGAAAGAAUUUUCUCAUUGAGUAUGCCAGAUAGAAUUCCCAAUCUCCUGUCUUCAGCAGCAACUUAGAAAAUACUGUCACUCAGAUUCACUCCUUUAUUCAAUAUACCAGGCCCUGAGCUCAUCUGAGAGUUGGCAGGACUCUGGAGUUCGGAGGUGAAUUUCCCCUGAGUUGCUCCUGGCUACAUCUUGACCUAGAAAGCUGGAUAAAAUCUCUCAUCUGAAGUGGUCUGUGAAAGUGACCACUGUUCCCCUCCCAGAGCAGCACUCAUCACC
rnacentral:lncRNA from 1 species